UACGAGGGGGGCGAGCGUUGUUCGGAAUUAUUGGGCGUAAAGGGUGCGUAGGCGGUUUGGUAAGUCUUAUGUGAAAUCUACAGGCUCAACUUGUAGUCUGCAUGAGAAACUGCCGGGCUUGAGUAUGGGAGAGGUGAGUGGAAUUCCUGGUGUAGCGGUGAAAUGCGUAGAUAUCAGGAGGAACACCGGCGGCGAAGGCGGCCCUCUGGAUCGUUGCUGACGCUGAUACGCGAAAGCGUGGGGGAGCAAACAGG
rnacentral:rRNA from 1 species